GGGCCCGCACAAGCAGUGGAGUAUGUGGUUUAAUUCGAAGCAACGCGAAGAACCUUACCAGGUCUUGACAUCCUUUGACCACCUAAGAGAUUAGGUUUCCCUUCGGGGCAAAGAGACAGGUGGUGCAUGGUUGUCGUCAGCUCGUGUCGUGAGAUGUUGGGUUAAGUCCCGCAACGAGCGCAACCCUUGUUGCUAGUUGCUACGCAAGAGCACUCUAGCGAAACUGCCGUUGACAAAACGGAGGAAGGUGGGGAUGACGUCAAAUCAUCAUGCCCCUUAUGACCUGGGCGACACACGUACUACAAUGGCUAUUAACAACGAGAAGCAAAGCCGCGAGGUGGAGCGAAUCUCCAAAAAUAGUCUCAGUUCGGAUUGCAGGCUGAAACUCGCCUGUAUGAAGUUGGAAUUGCUAGUAAUCGCGGAUCAGCAUGCCGCGGUGAAUACGUUCCCGGGCCUU
rnacentral:rRNA from 1 species